rnacentral:rRNA from 1 species
GAUGAACGCUAGCGGCAGGCCUAAUACAUGCAAGCCGGACGGCAAGUUGAGUAGCAAUACUUGACCUAGAGUGGCGUAAGGGUGCGUAACACGUAUGCAAUCUGCCCACAGCCGGGAGAUAGCCCUCCGAAAGGAGGAUUAAUAUCCCAUAGGAAGAUGAGAUGGCAUCAUUUUAUUUUUAAACUACGGGGCUGUGGAUGAGCAUGCGGUUGAUUAGCUAGUUGGCGGGUAAAGGCCCACCAAGGCGAUGAUCAAUAGGGGACCUGAGAGGUGAUCCCCCACACUGGCACUGAGAUACGGGCCAGACUCCUACGGGAGGCAGCAGUAGGGAAUAUUGGACAAUGGGUGUAAGCCUGAUCCAGCCAUGCCGCGUGCAGGAAGAAGGCC